GAAACGACAUCGAAAGCUUGCUUUUGAUGGGCGUCGACCGGCGCACGGGUGAGUAACGCGUAUCCAACCUGCCCACCACUUGGGGAUAACCUUGCGAAAGUAAGACUAAUACCCAAUGAUAUCUCUAGAAGACAUCUGAAAGAGAUUAAAGAUUUAUCGGUGAUGGAUGGGGAUGCGUCUGAUUAGCUUGUUGGCGGGGUAACGGCCCACCAAGGCUACGAUCAGUAGGGGUUCUGAGAGGAAGGUCCCCCACAUUGGAACUGAGACACGGUCCAAACUCCUACGGGAGGCAGCAGUGAGGAAUAUUGGUCAAUGGACGAGAGUCUGAACCAGCCAAGUAGCGUGCAGGAUGACGGCCCUAUGGGUUGUAAACUGCUUUUAUAAGGGAAUAAAGUGAGUCUCGUGAGACUUUUUGCAUGUACCUUAUGAAUAAGGACCGGCUAAUUCCGUGCCAGCAGCCGCGGUAAUACGGAAGGUCCGGGCGUUAUCCGGAUUUAUUGGGUUUAAAGGGAGCGUAGGCCGGAGAUUAAGCGUGUUGUGAAAUGUAGAUGCUCAACAUCUGCACUGCAGCGCGAACUGGUUUCCUUGAGUACGCACAAAGUGGGCGGAAUUCGUGGUGUAGCGGUGAAAUGCUUAGAUAUCACGAAGAACUCCGAUUGCGAAGGCAGCUCACUGGAGCGCAACUGACGCUGAAGCUCGAAAGUGCGGGUAUCGAACAGGAUUAGAUACCCUGGUAGUCCGCACGGUAAACGAUGGAUGCCCGCUGUUGGUCUGAAUAGGUCAGCGG
rnacentral:rRNA from 1 species